rnacentral:rRNA from 1 species
GAUGAACGCUGGCGGUAUGCCUUACACAUGCAAGUCGAACGAAAAUUAGCUUCGGUUAAUUUUAGUGGCGGACGGGUGAGUAACACGUGAGAAUUUGCCUUUAGGAGGGGGAUAACGAGUGGAAACAUUCGCUAAAACCCCAUAUGCCCACGGGUGAAAAAGAGGAAACUCUGCCUGAAGAGAAGCUCGCGGCUGAUUAGCUAGUUGGUAGGGUAAUGGCCUACCAAGGCGACGAUCAGUAGCUGGUCUGAGAGGACGAUCAGCCACACUGGAACUGAGACACGGUCCAGACUCCUACGGGAGGCAGCAGUGAGGAAUUUUCUGCAAUGGGCGAAAGCCUGACAGAGCAAUACCGCGUGAGGGAUGAAGACUUACUGAGUUGUAAACCUCGGUGCCUUAGGGAAGAAGAUCUGACGGUACUUAAGGUGGAAAGCAUCGGCUAACUCCGUGCCAGCCGCCGCCGUAACAC